rnacentral:lncRNA from 1 species
CCUUCACUCAUGUUUACCUUGCAAUCUCUCAGUUGACAGCUUCGUCUGUCGAGUUGAGCAUUUGAAGUCGAAAUCACUUGAAUCAGGUCUACACGUUAGUCCUUAUGACACAAGGAACCCUAAAGGAUUUUGGUUUCUACAGAAGCUCAGAAACAAGCACACAGAAAAAAAGAAUGGUGUGCUCUUUAUGCGUUAAACAACUAGUAAUAAUUAGUCACUUAAUUAUGUAACAGUCAUAAAAUAAAGAAAACAAAAAUAUAGAUC